rnacentral:rRNA from 1 species
AACCUGGUUGAUCCUGCCAGUGGUCAUAUGCUUGUCUCAAAGAUUAAGCCAUGCAUGUCUAAGCAUAAACUGAACUAAAGUGAAGCCGCGAAUAGCUCAUUACAACAGCCGUUGUUUCUUGGAUCUCCGCAAUACUUGGAUAACUGAGGUAAUUCUUGAGCUAAUACACGCAAUCGAGCUCCGACCGAAAGGGACGAGCGCAUUUAUUAGAACAAAACCAGUCAGUGCUUGCACUGUGGUUUGGUGAAUCUGAAUAACUGAGCAGAUCGCUUCGGUCUCGUACCGGCGAUGUAUCCUUCAAGUGUCUGCCUUAUCAACUUUCGAUGGUAGUUUAUGUGCCUACCAUGGUUGUAACGGGUAACGGAAAAUCAGGGUUCGAUUCCGGAGAGGGAGCCCUAGAAACAGCUACCACUUCUAAGGAAGGCAGCAGGCGCGCAAAUUACCCAAUCUCGGCACGAGGAGGUAGUGACGAAAAAUAACGAGAUAAUUCGCUCAUGCGAAUUAUCAUCGGAAUGAGAACAAUGUAAACCUUUUAACGAGGACCUAGCGGAGGGCAAGUCUGGUGCCAGCAGCCGCGGUAAUUCCAGCUCCGCCAGUGUAUAUCUAUGCUGCUGCGGUUAAAAAGCUCGUAGUUGGAUCUGCGUGCUAGAGACUGGUCCACCCUAUGGGUGUGCACUGGAUCUCAGCACUGAAUCGUUGGUUUUCUCUUUAUGCCUUUAACCGGGUGUACUGAGUGACUAACAUGUUUACUUUGAAAAAAUUAGAGUGCUUAAAACAAGCGAUUCGCUUGAAUAUUCGUGCAUGGAAUAAUAGAAUAGGACCUUGGUUCUAUUUUGUUGGUUUUCGGAACACAAGGUAAUGAUUAAGAGGGACAGACGGGGGCAUUCAUAUUUCGACGUUAGAGGUGAAAUUCUUGGAUCGUCGAAAGAUGCACUACUGCGAAAGCAUUUGCCAAGAAUGUUUUUAUUUUAAUCAAGAACGAAAGUUAGAGGUUCGAAGGCGAUCAGAUACCGCCCUAGUUCUAACCGUAAACGAUGCCAACUAGCGAUCUACUGGUGUUACUUAAGACCGAGUAGGGAGCUUCCCGGAAACGAAAGUUUUCCGGUUCCGGGGGAAGUAUGGUUGCAAAGCUGAAACUUAAAGGAAUUGACGGAAGGGCACCACCAGGAGUGGAGCCUGCGGCUUAAUUUGACUCAACACGGGAAAACUCACCCGGCCCGGACACCGUAAGGAUUGACAGAUUGAGAGCUCUUUCUUGAUUCGGUGGGUGGUGGUGCAUGGCCGUUCUUAGUUGGUGGAUUGAUUUGUCUGGUUUAUUCCGAUAACGAACGAGACUCCAACCUACUAACUAGUGGGUAGAUCUUUAUGUCUACAACACUUCUUAGAGGGACAAGCGGUGUUUAGCCGCAUGAGAAGGAGCAAUAACAGGUCUGUGAUGCCCUUAGAUGUCCGGGGCUGCACGCGCGCUACACUGAAGGAAUCAACGUGCUAGAAAACCUUGUUUGACAUGGCUAGGUAACCCCUUGAAAAUCCUUCGUGAUUGGGAUCGGGACUUGCAAAUGUGUCCCUUGAACGAGGAAUUCCCAGUAAGUGCGGGUCAUAAGCUCGCGCUGAUUACGUCCCUGCCCUUUGUACACACCGCCCGUCGCUGCCCGGGACUGAGCCGUUUCGAGAAGACUGGGGAUUGCUGACUCAGGGCCUUCACGGGCUUUUUGUCGGUGAAAACCAUUUUAAUCGCAGCGGCUUGAACCGGGCAAAAGUCGUAACAAGGUUUCCGUAGGUGAACCUGCGGAAGGAUCA